AAAGGCGAAAAGAACCCCGGCGAGGGGAGUGAAAAAGAACCUGAAACCGUGUACGUACAAGCAGUGGGAGCACAGGUUUACCUGUGUGACUGCGUACCUUUUGUAUAAUGGGUCAGCGACUUAUAUUCUGUAGCAAGGUUAACCGAAUAGGGGAGCCGGAGGGAAACCGAGUCUUAAUUGGGCGUUAAGUUGCAGGGUAUAGACCCGAAACCCGGUGAUCUAGCCAUGGGCAGGUUGAAGGUUGGGUAACACUAACUGGAGGACCGAACCGACUAAUGUUGAAAAAUUAGCGGAUGACCUGUGGCUGGGGGUGAAAGGCCAAUCAAACCGGGAGAUAGCUGGUUCUCCCCGAAAGCUAUUUAGGUAGCGCCUCGUGAAUUCAUCUCCGGGGGUAGAGCACUGUUUCGGCUAGGGGGCCAUCCCGGCUUACCAACCCGAUGCAAACUGCGAAUACCGGAGAAUGUUAUCACGGGAGACACACGGCGGGUGCUAACGUCCGUCGUGAAGAGGGAAACAACCCAGACCGCCAGCUAAGGUCCCAAAGUCAUGGUUAAGUGGGAAACGAUGUGGGAAGGCCCAGACAGCCAGGAUGUUGGCUUAGAAGCAGCCAUCAUUUAAAGAAAGCGUAAUAGCUCACUGGUCGAGUCGGCCUGCGCGGAAGAUGUAACGGGGCUAAACCAUGCACCGAAGCUGCGGCAGCGAACGUAUCACUUAAAGCGAUUCAGCG
rnacentral:rRNA from 1 species